AGUGGCGAACGGGUGAGUAAUAUAUCGGAACGUGCCCUAGAGUGGGGGAUAACUAGUCGAAAGAUUAGCUAAUACCGCAUACGAUCUACGGAUGAAAGUGGGGGAUCGCAAGACCUCAUGCUCCUGGAGCGGCCGAUAUCUGAUUAGCUAGUUGGUGGGGUAAAAGCCUACCAAGGCGACGAUCAGUAGCUGGUCUGAGAGGACGACCAGCCACACUGGGACUGAGACACGGCCCAGACUCCUACGGGAGGCAGCAGUGGGGAAUUUUGGACAAUGGGGGCAACCCUGAUCCAGCAAUGCCGCGUGAGUGAAGAAGGCCUUCGGGUUGUAAAGCUCUUUUGUCAGGGAAGAAACGGUGGUAGCUAAUAUCUACUACUAAUGACGGUACCUGAAGAAUAAGCACCGGCUAACUACGUGCCAGCAGCCGCGGUAAUACGUAGGGUGCAAGCGUUAAUCGGAAUUACUGGGCGUAAAGCGUGCGCAGGCGGUUGUGUAAGUCAGAUGUGAAAUCCCCGGGCUCAACCUGGGAAUUGCAUUUGAGACUGCACGGCUAGAGUGUGUCAGAGGGGGGUAGAAUUCCACGUGUAGCAGUGAAAUGCGUAGAUAUGUGGAGGAAUACCCAUGGCGAAGGCAGCCCCCUGGGAUAACACUGA
rnacentral:rRNA from 1 species